rnacentral:rRNA from 1 species
UACGAAGGGGGCUAGCGUUGCUCGGAAUCACUGGGCGUAAAGGGUGCGUAGGCGGGCCUUUAAGUCAGGGGUGAAAUCCUGGAGCUCAACUCCAGAACUGCCUUUGAUACUGAAGAUCUUGAGUUCGGGAGAGGUGAGUGGAACUGCGAGUGUAGAGGUGAAAUUCGUAGAUAUUCGCAAGAACACCAGUGGCGAAGGCGGCUCACUGGCCCGAUACUGACGCUGAGGCACGAAAGCCAGGGGAGCAAACGGG